rnacentral:lncRNA from 1 species
GGAGAAACUGAAAAGGGAUAUGGGCAGAUCACCUGAUGGGCCUCUGGUAGUGAAGCUGGUGAGUGUCUGCAUCGGUUAAGACUCUUUCAGUUGCUGGGGCAGAAAACCUGAUUCAAACUAAAUAAGAAGGGGAGUGGCUGCUCAUGUAAGCUAAAAUGUCCAGGGGUAGAUCUAGCUUUAGCUGAGUCCUGUUUCAGGGUCCAAAUGAUGUCACAAGGCUCCACUAUUUUGCACUGGUUCCUCUGGGUGGAACACAUUAAUGGGUUCUGCCUGGUGACUUCAGUGGCUUCAGGUUAUCAUCGCUGUAGCAUCUGUUGCAGCAGAAGACAUCAUUCGCUUCCCUGAGCAUGGCGACACAAGUCAGAGAACUGAGCUUUGGUGACAGUGAGUGGCCUGACUUGGAGCCUGUCUCUGUGGCUGGGGGGUUGAGUGCAUUGACAGCAUAGCCUACACACCCGGACUCUGCAGGGAAGGUGGAGAAGCAUGCAUAUUAUUCCACCGAAAACACCCUCUGGACCUACGUGAAAGGACUAACCUAAAGUCAAGCACAGAGAAGAGAUAGAUAUCAUCAAAUUAGAAAGUACAAUACAACUGUGUUCUCUUUUUCCCCAAUAAACAAUAAAGAAGUGGGGACUACAACCUCAAAGUGAACAAACACAGAGAAAGCAGAGAUCCUAAUAUCUGAUGACUUUGAAAGAUCUUUGAAGAGGAACCCAUCUCAGAAUUCAAGAGAGAUCUGAUUUUAAUUCCCAGCUCUACCAUCAAAAAGUCCGGUCUGCUCCCCAGUGUCUCUAAGUGUAGAGAGAGAAAUUCUUACCUUGGCUAUCAGCUAUCGCCAAACUUACUGUAAUGAAGAAACGAAGUUACAAUUACGACAGGAAUAUCAAAAUGCCAUGAGGAUGCAGGAUUUUAUGAUCUAUUCCAAGAAAUAAGAUGAUAAGGAAAGUUUGUAUGCAGUAGAAAGAAUAUGGGAUUUGGAGUCAAAGUUAUGUCCAAAUUCUGAGUUGACCCUUAAUGAACUGUGUUACCUUAUAAGUCAUUUAACACCUCAGCCUUAUUUUUCACAAUCUUACAAUAUCUACUUCAUGGAAUUAUUAUGAAAUAUCAGAUAAUACAUGUAAAGGGUCUAGAAUUGUGUAAGGCCCAGAGUGGGUACUCAAUGAAGAUUAGGUAUUAUUGAAAAGUGUUAAAUAAAACAUAUGAGGCGAAGAAGGCAGAAUGCAGAACUAAUAUUAUGAUCUAGUUUGUGAGAACUUCAUCCUCCUAGCUCCACGAAUAGAUUACUUACCGUGGAGAGGAACAUAAACUUCAGGAUGUAAGAUCAACUUUAUUUGUUAAUCUUUUUUUUUAACUAUUUAACAGUUUUUUUAAUUUUAACUUUUUUUCAUAAUAGUUUACAUCAUUGUGAAAUUUCAGUUGUACAUUAUUUCUUGUCUGUCACCAUAUAAGUGCUCCCCUUCUUCAUUCCCUAUGCCUAUCCCCCCCACCCCCCUUCC